rnacentral:rRNA from 1 species
GAUGAACGCUGGCGGCGUGCCUAAUACAUGCAAGUCGAGCGAAGCGGGGACGGGUGAGUAACACGUGGAUAACCUCCUAUAAGACUGGGAUAAAUUCGGGAAACAGGAGCUAAACAGGAUACUUAUAGAGGGCUACGCGAUGCAUUAGCUAUUUGGUAAGUGAACGGCUUACCAAGGCGACGAUGCAUAGCCGACCUGAGAGGGUGAUCGUCCACACUGGUACUGAGAAACGGUCCAGACUCCUACGGGAGGCAGCAGUAGGGAAUCUUCCGCAAUGGGCGAAAGCCUGACGGAGCAACGCCGCGUGAGUGAUGAAGGUCUUCGGAUCGUAAAACUCUGUUAUUAUGGAAGCGGUACCUAAUCAGAAAGCCACGGCUAACUACGUGCCAGCAGCCGCGGUAAUAC